AGACAUUCCCUUUGAUAUAUUAGGCAUUUCUUAAAUUGUAUCAAACACCAUUUUAUUUUUACAUUAGAUUUACGGAUAUUGCUUAUCAGAGCGCAAUUUUAUUAUUGCUAAGUUGUCAACUACCCUCUAUUUCUAGAAUCAAUAUACUUUGUUACAAUAGUGCCAGGAACAAAGAGCUUUACAAUGUAACUUGUAUUCUUUUACAGGUCAACAACAUCACAUUUUGUACAAAUACGGGACUGAUUUGUUUUGGUGUCUUAAACAUUGAUGUAAGAAAUUUAGAAAUCUUUGAUUUUAAAUUAAGUUAUAAAGCAAAUCAUGUUUGUGGAAGAAGACCCAUCACCCUGUAAAGUGAAAAUAUGUCACUUGGAUAGAAUAAGAUCAAAAUAAUAUCAUGCAUGACAUCAAGCAGAAAAUAAUUUAAAUACAUUUUUCAAUCAUCAGCAACUCUAUAUCCCCAUAAUAAGCCCAAUAAUUAACUAAGAUACCACACAUCAUUCGAAAUUGGUUUUAGUAAUAUUGUUGAAACACUAUCAUCUUGAGUGUUUUCAAUGAAAGUCAGCUAAACUAUAAAAAUGAAUGAUGAUCGUCUUAUUAAUGAAAGUAUUAGUUUAAUAAAUUAAUGAUUAAACUGGUGUAAUGUGGAAAAAUAUGGUUCGGUCAAAUCAUUUUGAUGGAAAAAAUAUAUAUAUUUUGUUCAGGCAGUACAAUAGAUGUUCAGGUGGUGCUUCAACUCAACAAUAUAAUCCAUGGGAGUCAUUUGGACAAACCAAAAGAGCAUGAAAAAGAACAAUCAUUGUACUGCAAAAUAUAUACAUAAUGUAAAUAUUAUGUGUAUAUUUUGCUACACUAAUACAUUCAUUCUCCUGCCAUUUGGUUGACAGAUCAUUGGUCACUACUUACUUGAUCUGUCUAUGGAAUCAACAUUUAGUGGCUGUUCCCUAUACAUCAUCUUCUUUUCUCUUUCAAAACAUGUUGUUUUUGUUGCCACAAAUGGCACUCUAACUCUCAUUGCACAAGUUGUUUUUUGUUCGGUUAUAUGCCCAUAUGGUGCUUCGGAGUUACAGAUUGGCCUAAACUGAAAUGGUAGGCAAAUUGACCAAAAACAAAUCCACAAAUCUAUUAACUAUAUUGAUUAACAUUUUCAUUGAACUAUGUGGUGGAACUCCUAGAGACAUAAUGGUUGUUAUUGUGACUGGACCCUGGUGUUCAGCCUGUCAAGGGAGAUGCAGGUUAGGCGUGGAGCAAAACCUUGCAAAACCGUGGCAAACUUUGCAAAAACUCUGUAUUUUGCUCAAUGAAAGAGUCAAAGUAAUGCUGCUGGGUUACUCAGAGAGAUUGCACGAGCACUGGAAAGAAUAUUUAUGUGACCACACACUUCUCCAACUGGACCACCAGGGCACUAAUACUAUACUCAACACUUAUAUAUCACACUCAGGCAAUCACCAUAAUCAUUCUCAGUCACCACAUACAUUCUUCUCAGCUGUAUUGCUUAGGGGAUGCAAUGAGGGAGGCACUUAUUUUAUUUUUGCACCAGGGCCCAGUGGUUACUACUUGUGACAAUUACCAAAAGAAUAGUAAACAAAAUCUUCAGGGAACAGUUUACAUGCAAUGUAGCACUGUUCCUGGCAUAUUUUCAAGUAUUGUACUGGAGGAUUGUAGGAAGGCAGAUGCCAUUCCUAUAUUUAAAUAGGGUUCAAAAUCCAUGCCUGAAAAUUAUAGACCUGUGAGCUUAACUUCUGUGACUGGGCACCUUUUCUUUCCAUGACAAGCCAGCCCCUAUAUGGGGCAAGAAAAACUACUAUCUUUCCUUUUACUCCCUAUGCUUACACUCUUUAUCAUCAUGCACCCAUAAGCCACCUGAUAGACUUCUUGUAACUACCACAUUCAUACUCACGUAAUAGUAGAUACCACCUCUCGUACGCGCAUGAGAUAUACCUAACCCGCAGGGCAGCUUCACAUAUGAGCUGGCAUACUGCUAUGCCAUACGAGACAGAAGGAACAAAUGCUCACGAGAGGAAGGUGGUGGAUGGCGAACCCAUGCUGGGGUGUAAAAAGACACCACACCACCGAAGAGCAUUGUCCAGGUACAUUUAUACAUGAUGGGGAUAUAGUGGUACUGAGAAUGUGCAUCUAACACGUACAAUGUAAUCAAGCACGGCUCCAAAGAAUGUUAUUUUGUAUUUAAAAAAGUUUCAAAUUGGAUCUGUAUCAUGUACCUACCGAUGUCUUUCACUAAGGCCUGCGAGUCUAAUUUUCCUUUAUCCUCUUCUAAAUAAAAACAAAAAGAUUUCCAAAAAAACCCCAAAACCUUCUGUGACUGGGAAAAUAUUUGAAGGGCUAUUAAGGGAUAAUAUUCAGGAAAUCAUUGGGAAGAACUUUGUUAUUAGCAAUAAUCAACAUGGUUUUAUGAAACAUAGGUCAUUUACAACUAACAUAAUUGCAUUCUACAAAGAAGUAAGUAGAAGUAUAGACCAGGGUGUUGCAGUGGAUGUGAUCUACUUGGAUUUUGCCAAGGCAUUUGAUACAGUUCCUCACAAUAGGUUAGUCUUCAAAGUGAAAGAAAUUGGUCUAGAUGAACAUACUUGUUAUUGGGUAGAACAUUUGCUUAAGGAGAGAGUACAAUGAGUUGUCAUAAAUGGUACAUUUUCAGGCUGGACAAAAGUGGUAAGUGGUGUCCCUCUGGGUUCUGUUUUGGGACUGCUUCUAUUUAACAUAUUUAUGAAUGAUCUUGAAAGAGGCAUUGAAAGCCAUGUUUCAGUGUUUGCAAAUGUCCCAGAACUUUGUAAAGUAAUAAAAUGUGAGCAGGAUACUGCUUUGCUGCAGAGGGAUUUGGUUAGAUUGGGGGACUGGGCACUAAAAUGGCAGAUGAAAUUGAAUGUAGAGAAAUGCAAAGUUAUGCACUUCGGGGUCAAGAAUGCACAAGAAACUUACACCCUAAAUGGUAGUGAAUUAGGAAUAAUCAAACACGAGAACGAUUUGGGAAUUGUUAUAGACAACAAAUUAGGCAGCAAUAUGCAAUGUCAAUCUGCAGUUGCUAUGGCCAGUAAGGAUUUGCCAUGUAUAAAUAGGGGUAUAAAUUCUCGGGAUGAAAAUAUAAUUUUGCCUCUUUAGAAAUCGCUGGUAAAAUCACACCUUGAAUAUGCUCUGCAAUUUUGGGCACCUGUUCUAAAGAAGGAUAUCAUGGCACUAGAACAAGUGCAGAAACGUGCUAGAAAAUUGAUAAAAGGAAUGGAACAUUUUAAUUAUG